rnacentral:rRNA from 1 species
AGAGUUUGAUCCUGGCUUAGAGCGAACGCUAGCGGAAUGCUUUAUACAUGCAAGUCGAACGGAUUUUGAUUUUGUAGCAAUACAAAGAUUACGAUUAGUGGCGAACGGGUGAGUAAUAGUUAGGAACUUGCCGAAUAGUGGGGGACAACAGUUAGAAAUGACUGCUAAUACCGCAUAUUCCCGAGAGGGGAAAGAUUUAUUGCUAUUUGAGAGGCCUAACCACGAUUAGCUUGUUGGCGGGGUAAAUGCCCACCAAGGCAGUGAUCGUUAGCCGAUCUUAGAGGAUGAUCGGCCACAUUGGGACUGAGACACGGCCCAGACUCCUACGGGAGGCAGCAGUAGGGAAUAUUGGACAAUGGACGCAAGUCUGAUCCAGCAAUUCCGCCGUGAGUGAUGAAGGUGUUAUGCAUUGUAAAACUCUUUUGCCCAUGAAGACAAUGACGGUAGUGGGAGAAUAAGCACCGACUAACUAUGUGCCAGCAGCUGC